AUGCCGGGCUAUGCAGGUGAUGACGAUGAAACGAUGAGGCUACGAGCGGAGAGAGGAGCAAGGGCUGGAGGAUGGAGUCUAGAAAUAAGCAGGAAGAGGGCACUUGAAGAAGCUUUUGGAAGCAUGUGGGUUUGUUGAAGGCAUAUUGCCUAUUUAAGAUGUUAAGAUAAUUUCAAAACUCUGUAGGCCAUGGAAAUUCCAUUGUAUCACACCAGCUAUUCACAUGGUUAUUCUGAUGUAAAUGGUGUAUAAUGUAAGAUUUGUUACAUUUUUGUUUGGUCAUCCAUAUUAAAUUUCAUAACUGGAUGUUUUAGCUCAUAUUUUUUAUAUUAUAACUUUUUUCCUGAA
rnacentral:lncRNA from 1 species